AAGCUAUUCUGCAACUCCCUUUACCUGCGACACAUCAGACUCUUCAUGCCUUUUUGGGUCUUAUCACAUAUUGCAGGUCCUGGAUACCCGAAGCAUCAAAGCUCAUGCAGCCACUCUACGAUGCCCUCAGGAGUGAGCCCUUUCGCCUCACUGAAGAAACAAUCACCUGUUUCCACAAUCUGAAAAGAGCUAUUGCUUCUGCACCUGCUUUGGGCCUACCCAGCUA